rnacentral:rRNA from 1 species
UGAGUACAAGAUGCUACGGCAUUGAAGCAGUCUAUGUCAUACUUCCAAGAAAAGCUUGCAAUGUCAUAAACAAAUAAUGCCUGUACCAUAACCGACACAGGUGGGUAGGUAGAGUAUACUAAGGGGCGCGAGAUAACUCUCUCUAAGGAACUCGGCAAAAUGACUCCGUAACUUCGGGAGAAGGAGUACCUUAUUUUAUAAGGUUGCAAUAACAUGGUCCAAGCAACUGUUUACCAAAAACACAGGCCUCCGCUAAGUCGUAAGACGAUGUAUGGGGGCUGACGCCUGCCCAGUGCCAGAAGGUUAAAGAAGUUGGUUAGCAUUAGCGAAGCUGAUAACUGAAGCCCUGGUGAACGGCGGCCGUGACAAUAACGGUCCUAAGGUAGCGAAAUUCCUUGUCGGGUAAGUUCCGACCCGCACGAAAGGCGUAAUGAUUUGGAUACUGUCUCGGAGAGGGGCUCGGUGAAAUAGACUUGUCUGUGAAGAUGCGGACUACCUGCACCUGGACAGAAAGACCCUAUGAAGCUUUACUGUAACUUGAGAUUGAAAUUGGACUUUAUUUGCGCAGUAUAGGUGGGAGACCUCGAAAGUAUUCUUGCGGGAAUAUUGGAGUCAUCAGUGAGAUACCACUCUUAUAAUGUUAGAUUUCUAACUUUGUAUCAUUAUCUGGUCAAAGAACAGUUUCAGGCGGGCAGUUUGACUGGGGCGGUCGCCUCCCAAAUGGUAACGGAGGCGCACAAAGGUUUCCUCUGAACGUGUAGAGAUCGUAUCUAGAGUGUAAAGGCAUAAGGAAGCUUGACUGUGAGACCUACAAGUCGAGCAGGGACGAAAGUCGGUCUUAGUGAUCUGACGGUGCUGAGUGGAAAGGCCGUCACUCAACGGAUAAAAGUUACUCUAAGGAUAACAGGCUGAUCUCCCCCAAGAGUUCACAUCGACGGGGAGGUUUGGCACCUCGAUGUCGGCUCAUCGCAUCCUGGGGCGGUAGUACGUCCCAAGGGUUGGGCUGUUCGCCCAUGAAAGCGGUACGCGAGCUGGGUUCAGAACGUCGUGAGACAGUUCGGUCCAUAUCCGGUGUAGGCGUUAGAAUAUUGAGAGGAGCCUUCUUUAGUACGAGAGGACCGAGAAGGACAUACCUCUGGUGUACCAGUUAUCGUGCCAACGGUAAACGCUGGGUAGCUAUGUAUGGAGAGGAUAACCGCUGAAAGCAUCUAAGUGGGAAGCCCACCUCAAGAUAAGUAUUCUCA